CAUUGUUGUAUGUUAACUCCCCGUUACACUUAAGGUGUGUGUGAGUGUAUAAGUGAAAUGAAAUAAUUUUUUUGCGUCGGGGGCUUUGUGUGGCUAGAAAGUUGGUCUGCAUCAGUGUUCUCGGGGUUUUGACAGCGUAUAGUGUGUGUUGGAACGCUAAGUGUAAUAUCUUCUUUAAAUUUUUCCUUCCCGUUUAGUAGUAAAAACAAAAAAACACAAACAUGGAUGCCAUCAAGAAGAAGAUGCAAGCGAUGAAGCUUGAAAAGGAUAACGCCGUUGAUAAGGCCGAUACCUGUGAAAAUCAAGCUAAAGAUGCCAAUUCCCGUGCCGAUAAAUUGAAGGAAGAAGUACGUGAUUUGGAGAAAAAAUUGGUUCAAGUUGAAGCCGAUUUGGUUUCAUCCAAGGAACAAUUGGAAAAGGCCAACCAAGAAUUGGACGAGAAAGAGAAAUUGUUGACCGCCACCGAAUCCGAAGUAGCCACUUUGAAUCGUAAGGUACAACAAAUUGAAGAAGAUUUGGAAAAAUCUGAAGAACGCUCAACCAGUGCUCAACAAAAGUUGUUGGAAGCUACUCAAGCUGCUGAUGAAAACAACCGUAUGUGCAAAGUAUUGGAAAACCGUUCUCAACAAGAUGAAGAACGUAUGGAUCAAUUGACCAACCAAUUGAAGGAAGCCCGUAUGUUGGCUGAAGAUGCUGAUACCAAAUCUGAUGAAGUAUCCCGCAAGUUGGCCUUCGUUGAAGAUGAAUUGGAAGUUGCUGAAGAUCGUGUCAGGUCCGGUGAAGCCAAGAUCAUGGAACUUGAAGAAGAAUUGAAGGUUGUCGGUAACUCCUUGAAAUCUUUGGAAGUAUCCGAAGAAAAGGCCAACCAACGUGUUGAAGAAUUCAAACGUGAAAUGAAGACUUUGACCGUUAAAUUGAAGGAAGCCGAACAACGUGCUGAACAUGCUGAGAAGCAUGUCAAGCGCCUCCAAAAGGAAGUCGACAGGCUAGAAGACCGUCUCUUCCAUGAAAAAGAAAAAUACAAAGCAAUCUGCGAUGAUUUGGACUCCACCUUCGCCGAACUUACCGGAUAUUAAAAAAAAACCAAACAAAAACAAUUCAAACAAAUUACAAAAACACUUUUCAAUACUAUUGCCACAUAUACAUAUAUUUUACAUCCAAAAAAAAGACAAUUUACACUUACACAACUGUUUUCCCCACUUUUUUUCAAAUUUUGAAACCUCUAUUCCAUCAUAACGUUUUUGUAAAUUAACAAAUAUUUUGGAAAGAAUUCCUACUUUUUAUCCCUCCAAAUCAUAAUUUUAUUAUACUAUAUACCUCCAGCCCUGUAAAUACUUUUACUAAUUUAUUUUCAUUUUAUUUUUAAAACAAUUUCAAUUGUUUUUUUUUUCUUUGCAAAUCAACCAUUUGACAACCACUCACUUGCUCAUUACACAUUUUAUACAAUUUUGUGCUUUUAUCCUUAAAAAUACAUUUUUUUCUCUAAGUGUAUAUAAUAAACAAACACAAAACACACUGAAAAAAAAACGACAUUGUAAAAAGAAUUUCAAACAGCGUUUAUUUUUAAACAAACAAACAACCUGACCUGCCUUCUACGACUUUUGUAAAUUAGAAAAAACAAAGUCAGUCCAACCAACCAAUAGAGUGAGGUGAUUGAAUUAUCGCGCCAGUCAAUUACAAAUAUUAUAAAUAUUUUGUUGUAAGCUUUUAAACGAAUUGGGCAUCAACAAGGACAGAUACAAGUCUUUGGCCGACGAAAUGGACUCCACAUUCGCCGAAUUGGCUGGUUAUUAAAUUGUUGGUCUCUUUAUAAUUUGAAUAUGUUUUCCAUCAUCUUGUAAAAAAAAAUAAAAAAAACAAAAACAAAAAACUUAAAAAAAUCAAAAUUUAAACAACAACACCAUCAUCUUCAUAAGUUACCACCAUCACACUGCAUGAUGCUCCCAGCAAGCAGAUUAGUACUACACACACGCACACAUGAUCCUGAACAAAAUACGAUAUAACUGCUCCAAAAGAUUUUUUCUGAGGAGAAAUCCCGAAUUAAUUUUUCCGGCAGCAGUCUUAAGUAUCUGUGUGUAGUGUGAACGCACUCAAAAUAUCAUGUGUGUUUCUGCAAACGUUUUUUUAAUGUGAAUUGAAAAUGCCAAAUAUCGAUAAUAAACUUUUUUUGAAAAAGAAAAUUCAUAA